rnacentral:rRNA from 1 species
UACGUAGGGUGCAAGCGUUAAUCGGAAUUACUGGGCGUAAAGCGUGCGCAGGCGGUUAUGUAAGACAGGUGUGAAAUCCCCGGGCUUAACCUGGGAACUGCAUUUGUGACUGCAUAGCUAGAGUACGGUAGAGGGGGAUGGAAUUCCGCGUGUAGCAGUGAAAUGCGUAGAUAUGCGGAGGAACACCGGUGGCGAAGGCAGCUCUCUGGUACAUGAUUGACGCUGAGACGCGAAAGCGUGGGGAGCGAACAGG